rnacentral:rRNA from 1 species
GUUAGGAAUAUUGGACAAUGGGCGCAAGCCUGAUCCAGCCAUGCCGCGUGAGUGAUGAAGGCCUUCGGGUUGUAAAGCUCUUUAGUCCACGAAUAUAAUGACUGUAGUGGAAGAAUAAGCACCGGCUAACUUCGUGCCAGCAGCCGCGGUAAUACGAAGGGGGCGAGCGUUAUUCGGAAUCACUGGGCGUAAAGCGUGCGUAGGCUGUUUUGUAAGUCAGAAGUGAAAGCCCAGGGCUUAACCCUGGAAUUGCUUUUGAAACUACAAGACUCGAAUUCGGGAGAGGAUAGCGGAAUUGUCAGUGUAGCAGUGAAAUGCGUAGAUAUUGACAGGAACACCAGUGGCGCAAGCGGCUAUCUGGACCGAUAUUGACGCUGAGGCACGAAAGCGUGGGGAGCAAACAGGAUUAGAUACCCGUGUAGUC